rnacentral:ncRNA from 1 species
UUUCCAGUGUUAACUUUCAGCACCAUUAGUGAGUAAUCAUUAAUGAAAACUCCUCUAAUUCAUGGGAACCCCUAACGUAAAGGCGAGGGCAAUCAUGAGCGAAGUCCUUAAAGGAAACGUGCAACGACUAGUCGAAAGACGUACGCUCAAGCGAGUGGAAACGGGGAGCAACCUAUUGGGUUGAUGAUAUAGUCUGAACAUUCAUAGAAAUAUGAAG